rnacentral:lncRNA from 1 species
GAGGUAUAAAUAUUAAAAAAAUGUAAAGUAUGUAUUUAAUUAUAAAAUAAUUCUUUAAGAAUAUAAAUAUUUAAAAUUAUGUAAAAGUACAUGUAUAUUAAAUAAAUAAAUAAAUAAAAUAUUAUUAUAAAACAUAAACAAGAUAUGUACAAAUAGAAUGUGUAAAUACAUGUGAAAAGUAUUUUAUAAUGCAUGAAAAAGAAGGGUUAGUGGUUUGUAGUGGUUAAGGAUUUUUCCGGUGGCUGUUUUAGCGAAGGGUGGCGACGGGCGGCUAUUUCGGGGAAGGGAGACGCAUGGUGGUGGCGGAUCUGAUUCGGUGUAGUGAAAAUGUGCUCCAGCGGAGCUUCACCGGAGAGGAAUAGCGGCGGCAGUCGAAGGGAGUGAAGAGGUUUGUGGUGUCUUUGCCGUGACCGGAGCUUGUCGUUGGUGGUGAAUGGCUUGCGAAGAGAAGAGAGAUACGAGAGAUUGAGAGAUUUGUACGUUAUGGAUAUGUAUUUGUAUGUGCUAUGUGAAGAAAAACCAAGAUCUGAUAUGUGUGAACGUGUGUGUUUGAAAAUUUCGUUGUUGUAGAAUGGAAAAUCUAAUCUGAUAUGGGUGUUUCUGUUAAAGUCUGUGUCAUCUGAAUGAAGAAGAAAGAAAAAAUGGAUUCUGUCUAUUUUGUAAUAUGUGAGAGUGAUUGUCUAUUGAAUGAAGAAGAAGAAAAAAAUGGAUUCUCUGUGAGAGUCAUUGUAUCGUGUUGUUCCGAGUUCAUGGUCUGUGAUAUUAUAGUACAAAUUAGGAGCGUUUUAGGAGCGUUUGAAUUUUUUAACUUUGCAAAAGCAGGUCAC